GUAGGGAAUAUUGGACAAUGGGGGCAACCCUGAUCCAGCGACGCCGCGUGAGUGAUGAAGGCCUUCGGGUCGUAAAGCUCUGUUGCAGGGGAAGAACACAAUGACGGUACCCUGCUAGAAAGGAUCGGCUAACUUCGUGCCAGCAGCCGCGGUAAGACGAGGGAUCCUAGCGUUGUUCGGAAUUAUUGGGCGUAAAGCGGGUGCAGGUGGCUUGGUAAGUCAGAUGUGAAAGCCUGGGGCUUAACCCCAGAAGUGCAUUUGAUACUGCUGAGCUUGAGUGCUGGAGAGGCUAUUAGAAUUCCUGGUGUAGUGGUGAAAUACGUAGAUAUCAGGAGGAAUACCGGAGGCGAAGGCGGAUAGCUGGCCAGACACUGACACUCAGACCCGAAAGCGUGGGGAUCAAACAGGAUUAGAAACCCUAGUAGUCC
rnacentral:rRNA from 1 species